CGGCACUCGCGGGGAGACGGCGUGCGCGCAGGACCGCGUUUGGGGUGGGAGGAGCCGGCACCUCGCCCUUUAGGGUUCGCCGGCUCUCUCCGGGUGUGCGCGGGGUGUGUGCGUCUGUGUACACGGCACGUUUUUCUUCACGGGUUCUUCCUUUAAGAACCCAAUUUGAAGGAAUUUUGCCGAUUUUGUUGCUGUUUAAACAAAACGAAAGCGCCCAGCGUGUGAAGGUGGCGGUGGCCCUAAGGUCAGCCCGCGACCCCGGCGAGGCCUGGAUGAGCUCUGCUAUCGCGGGAGAGGCGGCGGCGGGGUCCGGGCUGCGAGGCGCGCCGGGCCCCAUCCGAAGAGGCUGCAGAGGGUCUCCUACUCCUGGGAGCCAGGCAUCAGGCUUCCGCGGUUCCGGGUGCCCCAAGAUUUCUCCACGCUCUAGGAAAGGCCCCCUAGCAAAGGACUCAAGCCAGAAGAAGUGCUUAGGCGCCCCAACUCUGGUCGAACUGACCAGAUGAAGGAGAGAAACCUAGAUGGCUUUAGCGAAUCUGUUGACCUGCAAAUGUCAAAAGCCUUUUCUUUGAAACUCUGCAGCAUGGCUUUGUAGGUCUGAAGAGGAUUGGGAAGCAAGACAGUAUUGUUUCAAGGUUCAAACCUUUUGACUUUGGGUAACAAUUCCAGGUUUUCUGUUGAAGGGAACUUCCUGUUGUAGCAGGGGUGUGCAGGCAAGCUUCAGGUUGGGCCUCUGCCCCUCUGGGAGCCCUAUGACUUUGAAAGACCACAAAGAGUAACCUCCUUUUAUUUUUUUAUGUCGGGAAUCCAACUCGGGACACUGGCUUGCCAGGCAGGCGCGGUACCACUGAGCGACAUCCGUGGAUCCAAGAGUAAUCUCCACUUGAUACGGAAAUUCUGAGGUAGCAUCGCAUGAAGCAAGAACUCCUAACUUGGACGUGUAUAAUUCAUUCUUCUGAUGGAAGACCAUUCACUUUUCCCUCACAGAGGCCUCACUACUAGUCAGGGAACCCUGCAGCCAGCCACAGGCAGAAAAUGCCACUCUAGUGGUCAACCCAGGGAUUCCAAUGGUUGAGGGCCUUCAACCCCAGGUCACCCUCAGGAGAAAUAACGAUGACUACAACAGUGCCCAUAAUGCCUGAGCCCUUCACAAAUACUGUGUUUCUGUUUCUGCUGUCUGACUCAGACUUUGUCCUCCAAGGGAAACAACGGCUUAAGAGCAAAACAAUAAAUGAGAAAGGGCAAAACAGUAAAUUGAUUUAAAUAAAAUCAGCUCCAAUUCUCUUCCAGAGAGGAGGACAGGGUGCAGGCCUCGUGGUAAAUCAUUUAUUCAUCCACAGUAUUUCUUGGGAUGCUAAGUGCAGCUGGCAAGAAUGUGACCCAUUUCCAGCUCCAUACCGUAAAUCAGCUCACGUGAUCUGGUUAUGCUUGGGCAAUAUUUUAAAACAUUCAAGCACAAAUUAAUAUAUUAUUACUUAGCUUUGAGAUGAAGCAAAUGUGCCUAUUUUAAUGAAGAAACCCCUUCUCCAGUCUGCCUUGGGGCUUUCUCCAACACACUUUGCUUUUUUCUUGUUAGGCCUUUUUAUGGACCUGUAAGAAGCUUUAAUUAGAUAUACAGCACUGUACAAAAUGACAAGAUGGAACAUGCACACUUGCAUUAGAGUCUCUGUGAUUCAGAUCUCAAAAAAUAACAUGAUGCCACUGAUACACAGAAGGAAGCCAGGGAGGUGCAACAAAUAAAUCAAGAUGUGAAAAUUAGGCAAACUCCUGAAAGAAUUGCCAUUUGUAUUUUGGAACUCUCCAAAGUAGCAUGUGUAACAAGGUCAUCUUCUCUAAGUAUUGUUGGUUUUCAUAGUUUUUUUAAAAAAAAUUUAAGGGCUGAGGCUAUAGUUCAGUGGUAGAGCACUUGCCAAAAUGUGAGGCCCUGGUUUCAGUCGCCAUUGCAGCAAAAGUAAAUAAACAUAAUAAAUAUAUUUUAUAAACCAUUCAUAUACAGCUCAAUUUCGAGUAUUUGAAUAAUCAUUUAAGUGAUGAGUACAUUUUUAAUUUUGUAUGUUAAUACUGGGUCAUUCUAAAUCCUAGCUUCGUGCCAAGUGGUACCAAACUAAUCCUUCCUGGAAUGGCUGAGUUUCUCAGAGAUCUUUUCUAACCACCUCUUUGGCAUCUGUUAACAUUUCCUCACAUUUUUUAAAAUCCAAAAUGUCACUUAAAGCCCAGUGUGAUUGUGUGUUUGUAUGUGUGUGUGUGGAUUGGUGUACACAUGUGUGCAAUGUAAUUCUGAUUGUUGCUAACAAGAAGUGAAAGACUUUGCUUACUGAUUCAAUUUACUUACUAUACUCCUUGUUUAACAAUGGAGUUCUGGGCCUGUGAGGAGGCUGUGAAAUGAAUUGAUUAAAUAUGUACAUUACAGUAGUUAGAACAAAGAAAUGGUCAGAGAAAACUCCAGCUUGGUGACUAUGUUUUUAUUUGCAUAACUCUUUCAUGCAGUACUGUAAUGUAUAACAGAACAUAAAACUUACAGGACUGUAUAGCACAGUCAGAAAAAAUUACAGUACUGCGUAAACAGCUAGAAAGAGACACAGCUUUAAAAAAAGACACUGAGGUUCUAUAAACAAGAUGUACAGAACUGUACAAAAAAGGACAGGUCAUAAGUCCAAACGGUUGCUCAACAAGGAAUAUCUGUGUUCAGUAUCUCUAGUUCUUCUUGACUUAAGUGUAUGUACCUAUCUCUAAGAGUGUGUAUCUUUUACGAUGUCUAACUUGUCGCCGUGAGUUGUUCAUGACAUUUCCUUACAAGCGUUUUGAUUUUUGCUGGGUUGACAACGAUGGGUCUUCUGACCUCGUGCCCCUCCAUAUCACUCUCUCUCUCUUGCUUUUCUUUCUCAUGCUCAUCAGGCUAAAGGUUUAUUCGUUUUGUGUUCUUCUCUAGAAUCAAGUUUUAUUCUCAUUGUUUUUCUCUAUUAUGUUUGGUUUUCUUGAUUUCCACUCUGAUAUUUAUUAUUUCCUAUCUUCAUUAAUUUAUUCUUCUUUUGAAACUCUUCUUUUUUGAAUUAGGCUUUAAAUCUUUAAAUUGACCUUGAAAUCUUUCUUACCCAAAUCUUGUGAAUUCUGAUUGGGUGUGUUUUGGUUUCCAUUUAUUUCAAGUAUUUUCUAAUAAUAUGUGUUCUUUGAUCCAUAGGCUGCUUAGAAGAAGCAUGUUGUUUGACUUCCUAAUAUUUGGGAAUUUCACUGUUAUUUAUGUUAUUGAUUUUUCAUUUUUUUCCUGUCAUUUUCAGAGAGCAGUUUGAUGAUUUUAGUUUUCUUAAGAAAAAUUUGGAAUUGUUUUACAGCCUAACAUACAGUCUAUCCUAAAGAAUGCUAUAUACGUACUUGGAAAAAAUAUGUAUUCUGUAAAAAUAAAUGCUGGUGAGGAUGCAGGGUAAAAAGAAGCCCUUCUGCACUGCUGGUGGGAAUGCACAUUAGUACAGACACUGCGGAAAUCAGUAUGGAAACUCCUCAAAAACCUAAAAAUAGAACUACCAUAUGACAAAGCUAUACCACUCCUUAGUUUAUACCUAAAUGAAUUAAAGCCAGCAUCCUAUAGGAAUACCUGCAACCCUGUGUUUAUCAUGGUAUAAUUCACAGUAGUCAAGUCGUGGAACCAGCCUAGGUGUCCAUCAUGAGAUGAAUGGAUAAAGGAAAUGCAUUAUAUUUUAUGUAUACAUUAUAUGUUAUAAUAUAAAUAAUAUAUAAUGGAAUACUAUUUAGCAGUAAAGGAGGAAGUAUGUCAUUUGCAAGAAAAUGGAUGGAACUGGAGAUCAUUAUAAACAAAAUAAGCCAGACUUAGAAAGACAAGUACCAGGUAUUCUCCUCAGUACGCAGGAAAGUAAAACUAAUGGCAGGAAAGUAGAAGGGAAGCUAUUACUAGGCACGAGGAAGGGGUAUGUAAGGGAGGGUAAUAGGAAACAUGGAGCUGAUGAAAAUACAUGCAUACAUGAAAAUAUCACCUUAAAACCCAACAUUUUAUAAAAUUGAUAGACACUAAAAAUAAAGUUUAAAAACAAGAAGUGUGCAUUCUGUUAUUACUGGAUGGAGUGAUCUGUAUCAGUUCCUUUUGGUGAGUGGGGUUCAAAUUUUCUUUAAUCUUGGUGAUUUUCUGAUAGCUGUUAUAUCAGUUAUUGAGAAUGGGUAUUAAAAUCUGCAGAAAUUUCCCCUUCCCUUUGAACAAGCAUGAGCCCUUGUAUAGCAUAUGGGGAUAUCAUGCCUUGACUGUGCAACACAGCAGAAAAUUGUCAAAGGACCUACUCUCACCAUGUGAGCCCUACAGAAC
ensembl:lincRNA